GGCUCCAGACCAAUGCAGCACAUUGUGAGUUUGCGAUCUCUUAGAAUAUAAACUCAUAUAAAGCUCAAUCAGAUGCAAAUUUAAGACAUCAGCCCCUCUAGAUGACAAGCAGCCUACGAGUGUGAUGUGCCCGUCCACCUGCAAGACAAGCAGCCAGGAAGGAGAAUCUCUGCACGCCCAAGGAAGCCUGCAGCCUGCAGACAGUGUCCCUGCUACAGAGACAACCAGGCACCAGUUUUAAAGCAAAAGCGCCAGCGCUCUCCUGCUUCUGCAGACCUUCCCCAGAAGAGGAAGCGGACCUCUGUGGCCCCCAGCCCCCAGACCCCCACUGCUGCACUGCACCUUGACCAACCUGUAAAGAUACACAACCG
rnacentral:lncRNA from 1 species